rnacentral:rRNA from 1 species
CCUACGUGAGGCAGCAGUGAGGAAUAUUGGUCAAUGGACGCAAGUCUGAACCAGCCAUGCCGCGUGCAGGAAGACGGCUCUAUGAGUUGUAAACUGCUUUUGUACGAGGGUAAACGCAGAUACGCGUAUCUGUCUGAAAGUAUCGUACGAAUCAGGCUCGGCUAACUCCGUGCCAGCAGCCGCGGUAAUACGGAGGAUUCAAGCGUUAUCCGGAUUUAUUGGGUUUACAGGGUGCGUAGGCGGUCGGAUAAGUUAGAGGUGAAGGCCCGAGGCUCAACUUCGGAAUGGACUUUGAUACUGUUCGGCUAGAGAGCAGUAGCGGUAGGCGGAAUGUAUGGUGUAGCGGUGAAAUGCUUAGAGAUCA